GGAGGGGUCGCAUAGCGGCCGAGUGCACCAGUUUUGAAAACUGGAAUACCCUCACGGGUAUCGUGGGUUCGAAUCCCACCCCCUCCGCCA
rnacentral:tRNA from 1 species